UAAAUUUCCAGAACCCAGUGACUCCUUCAUCUUCCUUAACAACGUUUGAGCUUCGGUGAAGAGAAGAAGUGGUCUUCUUCUUCGGUGAUUCCUCCAUCUUCUACAAAAAAACGUUCAGCUUCUUCUACGGUGGUCAUUUUGCUCGAUUUGAAGUGUUCAUCUUCAGUGGAAUUCAUCUCCAAAAAUAGUCUUCUUCAACAUUAAGCUUCUAGAUAAAGAGGUGUACUAUUUUUAAGAUUUGGAUAGUCAUGAGUCAAAAAGAGUCUUUAAAAAGGAAAAAAAGCAAAGACAUAUGCUAAAACUGGAUCAUUAUCAUUCUUGGCAAAUAAAAAACGACAGUUAUUGACAACAAAUGAAAUUGUUCAAGCUAUAGAGUCAGAGAAAGGACAACUACUUAAGUUAAUUGAACAACAAGCAGUAACACCACAAUCUGAAGCUAAUGGACAAUCUGUGGAGGAGCAGCCUCUUGAACAACCUCUUGAGCAGCAACUUAUAGAGGAUCAAGUGCAAAUGAACUCUGUUACUCAUCCACCCGGUGAACAACCUGAAGAACAAGGAAAAAGAAAAGAAAUAUGUAUCCUCUAAGGAACUCUUUGUGGUCACAAGAACAAGAAAACCUGAUCGUUUGUACAAGGCAUCGAAUGAGAACACAACCAGCAAAAUUGCUGUGUGGAGGAAAUUGAAAAGCAAAUGAGCAUAAAUGGUCAGUCUGUUGAUGCAUUUUCAGUUGUCAUGGGUCCUGAACAUCCGGGACGUCUCAGACUAUAUGGAGUGGGGGUUACAAAGACAACUUUGAAAAGGAAAUUUAACAAUUCUGAAUCAACUUAAAUGCAACAAAUGAUGUAGUACAACAAAUGCAAGAAAGGAUGAAAAAAAUGGAGAAACAAAUGGAGGAACAAAGAAGAACUAUGCGACAAGAAGUUGCUAGAGAUAUAGUCGCACAACUUCAGCAAGUAGGAUUAAUUGAUCCUAACAUACUAGCGAAAUUGUCCGUUCCUUAUCCAAGAGGAGCUACUUCUGCUCAAACAGCUGAGCAAGGUGAUGAUAUCGAUGAAGGCGAUGAAAGCAGUACCGAAGACUUGGUAUAGGAGCUGAAUUGAGUUAAUGUUAUCUUUACCUAUGUUCUGAAAGUCUGUUAUUUUUGAAGUUUGAAAAGUACUCUGUGGUGAAUCUGUACAUUUCACUCAUUUUGAAUGGUUAAAAAAUGUUUAUCUAUUUGUUUUUAUCGAUAUUACGUACCCAACCAUGGAUCUAAGUUGUAAUUUUGGUAAUUAAA